AGGGAACGCUGGCGGCAGGCCUAACACAUGCAAGUCGAACGAAGUCUUCGGACUUAGUGGCGGACGGGUGAGUAACACGUGGGAACGUGCCUUUAGGUUCGGAAUAACUCAGGGAAACUUGUGCUAAUACCGAAUGUGCCCUUCGGGGGACAGAUUUAUCGCCUUUAGAGCGGCCCGCGUCUGAUUAGCUAGUUGGUGAGGUAAAGGCUCACCAAGGCUACGAUCAGUAGCUGGUCUGAGAGGAUGACCAGCCACAUUGGGACUGAGACACGGCCCAAACUCCUACGGGAGGCAGCAGUGGGGAAUCUUGCGCAGUGGGCGAAAGCCUGACGCAGCCAUGCCGCGUGGAUGAUGAAGGUCUUAGGAUUGUAAAAUCCUUUCACCGGUGAAGAUAAUGACUGUAGCCGGAGAAGAAGCCCCGGCUAACUUCGUGCCAGCCGCCGCGGUAAUAC
rnacentral:rRNA from 1 species